GGGAACGUAAGGGUUUCGACUGGAUAAAGAAACUAAAACGUGCAAGGCAGAGGGCAGCGUGGCUCUGUAAAAACGCUGAAUUGAUAAGUGCCAAUACUGACACUUUUUCUGAUUACGCCUUAGCUGCAUAAUCCGAGGUUGCUGGGAACCUUGUUAACAAAGACCAGCAAAACUCGAUUAGCCUUCGAGUAAAUAGGGCUGAAUGGUUACCUCGUUUUUAUCGGUGAAAAUCCGACUGUAGGGACGAGUGGAUCCCUAAUACUCGAUAUGGGAUGGGAUGAUUCGAGUUACUUUGUCAGUUUAGAAUAAACUGAACAACCUUGUGAAUGACAUUUUAUUGGAAUUAUUUAGGACGCGGGUUCGACUCCCGCCGUUUCCACCA
rnacentral:tmRNA from 1 species